rnacentral:lncRNA from 1 species
AUGCUGAAAAGCUUAACUUUUGGCAGAAGUAAAGUCCAGAAGGGUAUAUUAAAAUCCAUUGCUCCCAAUCCAGCAUGGGGGAAGAGCCUGGCCCUUCCAAAAGGAGUUAAUUCCCCCUUCCUCCUGCUACCUGAGCCCAGGGGAAUACCUGCACCUGGUGGUAGGGUGUGGGAUGGAGCAUGGCCAGCCUUCUGCCCUUCCUUCUUGGAUGCUGGGAGGUGCUGUGAUGUGCUUCUACUCCACAACCAGGACCUUCCUCCAAAGUGUCACUGCUGCUGUAUUUUAUUAGACCUCUGGUUUUCAUUAUGCAAAAAGUCAAAACUGGAACAUUGUAAAUCUCCCCUCUCCUUCCCGCUCGCUGCUCUGAAGCUCGGCCGCCAUUCUAUGCCUGACGGCUUCUCCUACCAACGCACACUAUUUCCAGGGGCUCUGGGGAACUGGAGGUGAGAACAGAGAACAGGGAGGGGGAGCCUGCUUGCCCAAGGCUUGUUAACCUGAGCGCACACUCUCUUUCUCAAAUUUGUUUUCUCAGCUGGUGGCACAGUCACUGCCCCAGCGCCAUCAGUCCAGCAGAGAGCAGUUCCAUUCGAGAUCUGAAGGCAGAUUUUAAAGAAGUGGUUGGGCAGGAGGGGGGGGAGCUUAAUAACAGCUUAGAGCCUGACUCUGCGUGUUUUCUUAGUAUAUUGAAAUACGAACUGUGUAAACAUGCUCCGCAUUCCACCUGCUCAAGCAUCUGCCAGAAAUCUCACAAAAGCCCUUUGCUGUAUCUUACACCCUCCUGUUCUGCCUGCCCUCCUCCCCGCAAGCUCUCCUGCACCACCUUGCUGUCCCGCUCCCCACCCCGUCUCUACAAACACAUGCUCCAUUUUGUUCCUGCUGGAGACGCACAUUUCCAACCUCUACUUGCACCUAGCGUGUGGCGCCUUUCCCAGCCUCCUCUUUCUUAGGGUUGGGACUCGCUUCAGCCUCAGAGCACUGCUUGGUGCUGAUGCUUGUCAGGUUAUUGUUGUUCUUCCAAUAGUGUUUACUAUUAUUAUAUAUAAAUAUGGCAGCAAUCACCCCAGAGACCGAAUGCUUUCC